rnacentral:rRNA from 1 species
AUUGAACGCUGGCGGCAUGCUCUACACAUGCAAGUCGAACGGUAACAGGCCGCAAGGUGCUGACGAGUGGCGGACGGGUGGGUAAUGCAUCGGAACGUGCCCAGUCGUGGGGGAUAACUACUCGUAAGAGUAGCUAAUACCGCAUACGAUCUAUGGAUGAAAGCGGGGGACCGUAAGGCCUCGCGCGAUUGGAGCGGCCGAUGUCGGAUUAGGUAGUUGGUGGGGUAAAGGCUCACCAAGCCAACGAUCUGUAGCUGGACUGAGAGGACGACCGGCCACACUGGGACUGAGCCACGGCCCAGACUCCUACGGGAGGCAGCAGUGUGGAAUUUUGGACAAUGGGCGCAAGCCUGAUCCAGCAAUGCCGCGUGCAGGAAGAAGGCCUUCGGGUUGUAAACUGCUUUUGUACGGAACGAAACGGCUCUGGUUAAUACCCGGGGCUAAUGACGGUACCGGAAGAAUAAGCACCGGCUAACUACGUG